rnacentral:lncRNA from 1 species
CAAAAUCAUGUUUACUCCUUGUUAAAGUUGUGGCACGCAGGCUAGCACAAUGACCUCCCCAAACCCGUAUGCACGCUCACUCUCUUGGGGGCACUGCUCUUCUCUUUCAAUGCCAUUAACAGCUCAACAGACCACAGGAACCUCACAUUCUGCUACGGAGAAUGAUACUUGGUCACAGUCAGGCUCCCUUGACAAUGACAUUUUCUCUGAGAGUUCUGCACAGCUGUGUCACUGUUAACUUUUAAUGAACAUCCUUCCUUCCUUUGAAAAGUUUCAGUGAAAUGAAACGGAUGUGCAAUUUCUGCUUUCGUCUCCACUUUGUGUGGGAUAAUAUACAGUAAUUCUGCAUGCUGAGGUAGUCUGUGACAUGCCUAAUCUGGGGCGUUUCAUAGCUAAUGAAAUAAUUUUGCCCACAGUUACACACAAAUGUAAAACAAGAUUUUUUUUUUUUCCUGAAAGCCCAGGCCCUAAAAGAUCUCAUAAUCUAUAAUACACCAAAAAGUAGAGAGACUCACUCCCAGCCUGAAUUUGGGCCCCACCGUUCAUUUCAGGGGAUUGCUGACUCAAUGGAACACUCCCGCAGGAGACGUGCCAAUAGCUUCUGGGACAAUGAGUGCACAGAGGCACCACAGUGUUAUUUUGGAGCAUUAUUCUUUCUUGGUUUCCACAAUAGCUGGGAUCUGAUAAUUUAGCAUUAAGCCUCUUUUCAACUAUAUGGAACUGUAAUAAGGUGAUUUAGCCAAUGUGCCUGUCCAUUGUCCCAAAGAUUCUGUGAUCUAUUAUGCGGUAAUGUGUCAAAAGAAA